CUGGUUUAGAAUGUUUCAGUUUGCUUGCUGUUUGUUCGUGUUCGUUGCUCUUUCGAAAAUCGAAGCAGUGAAUCCUGGUUUCAGAACAGAAAUCACUCAGAAAGUUCGCGAGAUUGGACCUUCAAGAUUUAUGAAUGAGGUUCAGAGUUUUGAUAUUCCCGACCAGACUGGAGAAAACGACGGAUUCAAGUGGAAGUUGUCAGACAUCAAAAGUUCAAGUUUGGCAAUUCCGAAGUCGUCAUUGACUGUAGCACCUGGAGAAGGCUUGAAGCUGUUAGUCUCCGGAGCAUCAAUGAAAGUGACUGCUGCUUGGUCAUAUGAACUAGAGGUUUGGUGCGUACAUCUUGGUUGGUUGCCAAUGACCUAAUAUUUAUGAUUUUUGAGUGGUAGGCCUCAUUUUCCUUAUGGAUCUGGUACGUGUGACAUUCCUGUGUCGAAUAC